AAAGGGAGACCUAAUUCAGGUAGGAGACGAAAAAAAAGUAGUCGCUACCAAGAAUCAAUCCCAAAAGGUCGGAACGAGGUAUGUGGCUUUCAAACUAGGUUCUGGGUUCAUAAAAGACCUGAAUCAGGAACAAGGGCUAUUAGCUCAGGUGGUUAGAGCGCACCCCUGAUAAGGGUGAGGUCCCUGGUUCGAGUCCAGGAUGGCCCACCUGCACAGGUGGCAAAAACAAGAGAAGCGAGGAAUCAGCACCUUAUCUUACUUAUAUAGUAAGAGAGAAUGCUGGCUCUGAGUAAAGAGUCCAGAGGAACCUUGAAAACUGCAUAGAGCUAGGUGAAAAAGCCAAAAAAGAAGACCGCAAG
rnacentral:tRNA from 1 species